ACUGAGGCUAUCGGUGUUGAAUAUCGUUGCGCGUCGGUCGGAAUAGGCGAGGGGUGUCGUCGCAUCGUCGGAAUCGGGGUUGUGACGUCGUCGUUGGCGGCGCAAUGACGAUUAGGGUUUUCGCGAGACUUCGGGUAAGGAAGACGAAGGAAAACGGGUCGGGUUCACGUUUGGCCUCUGGACCAGCCCACGGAACGAACGCGGGCCCUGUGCGUUUCGGCCCAACGCGGAUGCGCGCAGCAGCCUUGGUCUCGGCUCGGCUUGACGUGUAUGGCGGCUCGGCUCCGUCAAAACCCGCGGCUCGGCUCCGUCAAAUCCCGCAGCUCAGCUUGGCGGCUUAAUUGGUCGGCUCGGCAGCUCGGCUUGGUGAAUCGGUAUCACUAUAAUAUAUCGAUUCGAAGGUUUUUGGCCCUUCCGAACCCGUUUCUGCCCUUAGUUUUACCAUCCGAGGACAUAUUUAACCACUGGGAUUAGCUCGUUGUGAGUGACUUCAACCAAGACCAUCGAGGUAAAGACAAGGCGCCAAUGUACGGUUGACGGCGGAGCUGAGGCCACCAUGGAAGUUAGAGACGGGAUAUUUUAGGAGUUUACU